UCUCAGUUCGGAUUGGAGUCUGNAACCCGACUCCAUGAAGCUGGAUUCGCUAGUAAUCGCGCAUCAGCCACGGCGCGGUGAAUACGUUCCCGGGCCUUGUACACACCGCCCGUCAAGCCAUGGGAGCCGGGGGUACCUGAAGUGCGUGACCGCAAGGAGCGCCCUAAGGUAAAACCGGUGACUGGGGCUAAGUCGUAACAAGGUACC
rnacentral:rRNA from 1 species